UACGUAGGGACCAAGCGUUGUCCGGAAUCAUUGGGCGUAAAGAGCGUGUAGGCGGCCCGGUAAGUCCGCUGUGAAAGUCCAGGGCUCAACCCCUGGGAUGCCGGUGGAUACUGUCGGGCUCGAGUCCGGAAGAGGAGUGUGGAAUUCCUGGUGUAGCGGUGAAAUGCGUAGAUAUCGGGAGGAACAUCAGUGGCGAAGGCGACUGCCUGGCCCAACACUGACGCUGAGGUGCGAAAGCGUGGGUAGCAAACAGG
rnacentral:rRNA from 1 species